rnacentral:rRNA from 1 species
GAUGAACGCUGGCGGCGUGCCUAAUACAUGCAAGUCGAGCGAACAGACGAGGAGCUUGCUCCUCUGACGUUAGCGGCGGACGGGUGAGUAACACGUGGAUAACCUACCUAUAAGACUGGGAUAACUUCGGGAAACCGGAGCUAAUACCGGAUAAUAUAUUGAACCGCAUGGUUCAAUAGUGAAAGACGGUUUUGCUCUCACUUAUAGAUGGAUCCGCGCCGCAUUAGCUAGUUCGUAAGGUAACGGCUUACCAAGGCAACGAUGCGUAGCCGACCUGAGAGGGUGAUCGGCCACACUGGAACUGAGACACGGUCCAGACUCCUACGGGAGGCAGCAGUAGGGAAUCUUCCGCAAUGGGCGAAAGCCUGACGGAGCAACGCCGCGUGAGUGAUGAAGGUCUUCGGAUCGUAAAACUCUGUUAUUAGGGAAGAACAGAUGUGUAAGUAACUAUGCACGUCUUGACGGUACCUAAUCAGAAAGCCACGGCUAACUACGUG